GGGAACAAUUUGAAAUUUAGGAGGUCCAUCUAAAAUUUAGGAGGACCAUCUAAAUUUCAAUCUAGAUGGUCCUGUGGACCAUCUCUUUUUGUCUCCUUAUUUCUAUCCCUGCUAUUCCAUUCAUGAUUUCUAGGUAAUUUUUUCCAAGUUUCCAUUACAUGACAAUUUGCUAGUGUUUUGAAUAAGACGCAUCAUGACGGAUGGUAGCGGUGUGAUAAAUACGUUUUUUGUGAUUUAACUUAUGCACUAACAUUGCUAUGUUAUUUCUGGAGAAAACCUGUAUCUAGAUAUAUGCAUUUAUGGUUGCUGUGUAUGCUCACGUGCCAUGUCAACAGUAUCAUAGCAGUAAAGAUGCCAUGAGUUAUAUAUACAUGUGCAAAACAUGUAAGAUAACUGAAAAUAUCUAAACACGCAUGUAAGCAUGUCUCAAACGUUGUUCCAAGUCGUGUCCUGGUUUUAGAAAUAUCAAACUGUUUUUCACAAAUUUUAACACAACUGCCGCAUUAAAAAUGUCGCCAUCAUCAUAAAAUGCCAAAUAUGCAGCUUUAUCAGUAUUAAUUGAGCCAUAAAUUAAGUUGAUGCGUUUUAUGCAUGUAUUGUAAUAGCAUCCAUUUGUUAUUUUUUUUAAACAUUAUUCUAGUUUACUUGAAAAGCAUGUAAAAAUCCUUUAAACCACAUCAGAAGACUUCAUUGUGAUGAUUGUCCUGGUUAAGUAAAGACUGAAAAUGGCAGUAGUACAGAUUCCACAUCUCUGGGCAAAAUAUAAAAUUUAAAUUUCAAAGAUUUUCUGGCUAUGUACAUAUGCACAAAUGUUUUAUUCCAUACACACGGAUCUCGUGAAUCAACACACAUGUUGAAAAUAUAAAUAUUUUAGGUGAUUUAAUCACCGGUAAUAACUUGAUGAUAUCUUAACGAUGUAUUUAUUACAUUCAGCUAGCAUUCUCUGUAUGUUUCUGUAUGUGCGAUUAUUGGGGGUUGUAUGUGGGGUUGUAUGUGGGUUGUAUUGCGUUAUGUGCAAUACAACAAGAAAUUUGACUAUAAUGUAAUCUAAUUUACUUUAUUAUUGUACUGCACAUAUUACAGUAUAUGUUGUGUCACAGAACAUUUUUAACAUUAUUGGCCAGUUUCGGUGUUUAUCGUGAUCAUUCGCCCAACCGCGCACAAUGAUGUUAUUAUGGCAUGGUACAAAUACCUGUUUCAGUGAUGUUACAUUGUGUUAUGUAUGUUUUGGGAAAAUUUGUUUAGCAAUGAUUGAUAUAAAUUCUAAUCUGCAUAUGGCAACGGUUGUUGAAGUUGUUGUAUGAAAAUGUAACUAUUCAAUUUGGUGCUGCAUGUUAUUAAAGAUUUCUUAAGCAGCUAUGGUAAUUAAUUUCAGUCAGGAUGUUUUUUCAGAUGUUUUUUGUGAUAUACUACGUAUCUUUUUCAAAAUGUUAUGUACGUAUAUCGGUGGCUUGUUUUUUGGUUAUUAUUCAAGUUUCUUCAAUAUUUAUUGAAUAAACAAUUGAUUAUUGUUGUCUUAUGGCACAUAAA